rnacentral:lncRNA from 1 species
AAAAAACUAAAAUUCUCUCUGAAAUGAAAAGGGAGAGAGAGAGAUCUAGGCUCCGGUUUCCGUCGAGCCGAGCCCCGGUCGUCGACCUCACGCGCCCACGCGCUGUCGCCGACUCCUCCCCAUACGGUGGUUGGAGGCCCAAAAUCUCGAUUUUCAACGCGAUUUCGACUAUAAAUUUAUUUUAUUUUAAUGGUAUUUGCAUGCAUAUAGAGAAGACGAAGAAAAAUGAAACAAAGUAAGAGUAUAUCACCUCUUAAAGAAACUGCUUGAACCCUUUUUAUGAAUAAGUAUAUGUAUUUCUCUUUUUGUCAAAAAAGUUGGAUCCUUUACAUUGUUUUGAUUCGGGCUUUUAUAGCCACUGUUGUUAUUACAUUUAGGGAAGAAAUCUUUUUAUCUCCUUCCAUAUUUAUUUUGUUUGCUGCGGUUCCUUUCCUUUUGCAGGUGCUUGCGAGAAAUUCGGUGGUGACGAGGGCUUGACGAUGGUCUAUCGGUGGCGUUGAUCUCUGCGUGACUCGGGGCCUGGAAUCGUGGCAUUGAUGGAAGGCAGCUGGAACGGCGGAAACCGAAGGGUCAUGAGGCUUGGCUUCUGGAACCUUCUAUUUGCCGCGCGAGGAGAAAGGGAGCUAGGGUUUCUAACCCUAUCUGAAAGUCAUUUGGGCCCCUGCUAUUUGGGCCUUCGGGUUUGGGUCUGCUGUAGGUUUAGGUUAGGUUUGGGUUUGAAAGUUAUUUGGGUUAAGGUUGUAACUGGUAUAGGGUAAUGGGUCUGCUGGGUAGUUCUGAUUUUGGGCCUACAGUUUGGGUUUUGUAACCUGGACUUUUAAUGGACUGUUAAAU